rnacentral:misc_RNA from 1 species
GAAAUGCGAUAAGUAAUGUGAAUUGCAGAAUUCAGUGAAUCAUCGAAUCUUUGAACGCACCUUGCGCUCCUUGGUAUUCUUUGGAGCAUGCCUGUUUGAGUAUCAUGAAAUCUUCAAAGUAAAUCUUUUGUUAACUCAAUUGGUUUCUACUUUGGUAUUGGAGGUCUUUGCAGCUUCACACCUGCUCCUCUUUGUUCAUUAGCUGGAUCUCAGUGUUAUGCUUGGUUCCACUCGGCGUGAUAAGUUAUCUAUCGCUGAGGACACUGUAAAAGGUGGCCAAGGUAAAUGCAGAUGAACCGCUUCUAAUAGUCCAUUGACUUGGACAAUACUUUUAUGAUCUGAUCUCAAAUCAGGUAGGAAUACCCGCUGAACUUAAGC